GGGGAUGUAUCUCAGAGACACAGUACCUGCCUGGCAAGCACAAGUCCCUGGGUUCAAUUCCCAGUACCCCA
rnacentral:tRNA from 1 species